GUCCGAUUAUGCAGCCGGGAACAUAUCUAAGAAAAAUCAAAUAGGCAUAGACUGGGACCUGUGUAGACCUCACCACAAGUCCAUGACAAAGAACAAGAAAAGAGAAAAGCCUGAGGUUUUCUUCCAAAAAGCAAUGAGAAGACACAGUUAGCUCCUGCUUAGCAAAGGAAAGAAAGUGCUGGAAAUACAAUACAGGGCCUCAUGAAUGUUCUGCCACUAGUUAUCUCUCAGGAGAAAUCAGUGUUUUUAAUCACUGACUUGAUACUCUCCAACCUCUCCUGGAGUGUCAAGUCCAACAUGUCCAAAGCUCCCAUCUCCCCAUCCCUGAACACACCUCACUGGUGCACUAUUGCUUUCAGAAAAGUGCAUCAUCUGAAGUCCAAGCAUCCUAAAUAGAAGUCUUAGAGGGACAGUCAUUUCUAUCAUAACCAAUACACUUGCUCCUAAAAAUGAGUGUGUUGUGCAGAAUUGAUCAAUAAAAACUACAGAGCUGGAGGAAAGAAGAUGGCUGCCUAGGGAGCAACUGCAAGGUUGAGUCUCAAAAUUGGCAAUGGAGAAAAGCAGGUACCCUAGGGUGGGAGUGAAAGAUAAACACUGACACAGGAGGGCAGUGAGAAGAGCAUCUAGUGGACCAAAGUCCAGUUCUGGGGGUAUGUGAUGGAAAAGAAAAGAAAAGAGAGAGAAGGAGAGAGAGAGAGAGAGAUUCAUGAAGAGCAAACCGGCACUCCAGAAAAAAAAAGUACUCAAGAAUAUUCAAACAAAGCCAAAAAGUCUGAUGGAAUGAAUACAUCAAGCAAGCUGUAUCUUCUUAUGCAGAGCUAACCAUGCCCUGAGACAUGAAGAUGAAGAUCAGAGCAAAUAGAUUUGGCUACAGUUGGGCACCUAAUUAGUCACCAGGGCUGCUUGUAUCUCCAGCAGCAUAGAUAUUGUCAGCAUCAAUGACCCCUUCAUUGGCCUCAACAACAUGAAUUAUGUGUUCCAGUAUGAGUCUGCCUAUGGCAAAUUCAAUGGCACAGACAGAGUGGAGAACAGGAAGCUUGUCAUCAAUGGAAAGGCCAUCUCCAUCAUCCAAGAGCAAGAUCUUACCAACAUCAACUGGGGUGAUAGUUAUGCUAAAUAUGUUGUGAAAUCCAGUGGUGUCUCCACUACCAUGAAGAAGGCUUGGGUCAAUUGAAGGGUAAAAUAGAAAGGCUUGUCAUUUCUGUCCCUUCUGCUGAUGUUCCCAUGUUGGUGAUGGGCUUGAUCCAAGAAGAAUAUGACAACUCCCUUAAGAUCAUAAGGAAAACUUUCUGUUCUACCAGGUGUUUAACCCUUCCCCCCAUCAAGGUCAUCCAUGGCAACUUUGGCACUGUGGAGGGACUCAGGACUACAGUCCCUACCAUCAUUGCCACUCAGAAGACCAUGAAUGUAACCCCUUUAGGAAACGGUAGCUUGAUGGCCAUGGGGCUGCCCAGAACACCAUACUUAGAUCUACUGGCACUGUCAACACUGUGGACAAGGUCAUUCAUUGUGUAAUGGGAAGUUCAAUGGCCUGGUCUUUUGUCUGCCUACCUCCAGUGUGGCAGUUUGAAAUCUGACCUUGUGUCUGUGAAAAGCUGCCAGAUAUGAUGCCAUCAAGAUGGUGGUAAAGGAGGUAUCGAAGGGCCCUCUAACAGGGAUCUUUGCUCCAUUGAUACAUUAUCACCACAUGACAGAUUUAGUUCUUAUUGGUGCAUUGGUUUAUUGCCUUCCUCUCCUGCUCUAGCUGGUGACCUCCAUGAGAACAAGGACCUCAUCUAUUUUGAUCACUGUAAUGCCCCUACUGUUCAAAAAGCACUUGGCUUAAUAGUACUUCCUUCAUUAGAAUGUAUUUAGUUUCUGAAUCCUGGAAUGAUUUGUGGAAGAAUCUUGAAAUAGCUCUGGUACAUGGCUUAUUUUUAGUAACAUUGCCCCGGGUGAUACAUUUACUUAUAUUUUCUGGAACAUCUUUCUAGUAUUGGUCAUUCUACCAUGGGCUGUAGUUCCAGCACAUAUAAUGUAAAGUUUAUGGCAGCUUUUAAAAGGAGGAAAUGGUAGGGUUUAGAGACUAUAAAAUCUGCCUGUGCCUUACAUAGGAUGAGGAAACGUGAAAGUAUUUUAAUACCAAAGGUUGGAGUCGCGGUUCCUUUUAUCUUCCUUCUCCAGAAAUUACUUUUAAUUUAAAGAACAUGCCAGGGUAAUUUCUGUCAGUAAACAAAUGGAAUUUGAAAGUGAAUGUAUUAACAUAACUAUAUUUGCUUAGCACAAGGC
rnacentral:lncRNA from 1 species